UUGUGAACCAGAGAAGUAAUGUUUGUGUCUCUGCUCAGCAUGGGAGCGAAAUCAUCAUCUUUUUACACCACGUGAUAGGACAGAUUAUGGAAAGUCAGAAGUAUCUUAACACUGAACUAAACAGCUAGCUCAAACCAUAACUCUCGAAUUUGCUGCUGGUGAUUGAGUCCUGAUAAAACCUGACAUGAGGAAAAAAACGUAGCCAAGCCUGGGACAUACCCUACCAAGCCCUGCUAACCACUGAAGUAGGAGCCCAAACUGGAGACAAAGGGCAAAUCACUACACCUGUGGAAAGUGGUUCCUGGAGAAGACUA